rnacentral:rRNA from 1 species
AGUGAACGCUGGCGGUAGGCCUAACACAUGCAAGUCGAACGGCAGCACAGUAAGAGCUUGCUCUUACGGGUGGCGAGUGGCGGACGGGUGAGGAAUACAUCGGAAUCUACUCUUUCGCGGGGGAUAACGUAGGGAAACUUACGCUAAUACCGCAUACGACCUACGGGUGAAAGCAGGGGAUCUUCGGACCUUGCGCGAUUGAAUGAGCCGAUGUUGGAUUAGCUAGUUGGCGGGGUAAAGGCCCACCAAGGCGACGAUCCGUAGCUGGUCUGAGAGGAUGAUCAGCCACACUGGAACUGAGACACGGUCCAGACUCCUACGGGAGGCAGCAGUGGGGAAUAUUGGACAAUGGGCGCAAGCCUGAUCCAGCCAUACCGCGUGGGUGAAGAAGGCCUUCGGGUUGUAAAGCCCUUUUGUUGGGAAAGAAAAGCAGCAGGUUAAUACCCCGCUGUUCUGACGGUACCCAAAGAAUAAGCACCGGCUAACUUCGUG